CCUACGGGCGGCUGCAGUGGGGAAUAUUGGACAAUGGGCGAAAGCCUGAUCCAGCCAUGCCGCGUGAGUGAUGAAGGCCUUAGGGUUGUAAAGCUCUUUCAGUAGGGAAGAUAAUGACGGUACCUACAGAAGAAGCCCCGGCUAACUUCGUGCCAGCAGCCGCGGUAAUACGAAGGGGGCUAGCGUUGUUCGGAUUUACUGGGCGUAAAGCGCACGUAGGCGGAUCGUUAAGUCGGGGGUGAAAUCCUGGAGCUCAACUCCAGAACUGGCUUCGAUACUGGCGAUCUUGAGUCCGGAAGAGGUGAGUGGAACUCCUAGUGUAGAGGUGGAAUUCGUAGAUAUUAGGAAGAACACCAGUGGCGAAGGCGGCUCACUGGUCCGGUACUGACGCUGAGGUGCGAAAGCGUGGGGAGCAAACAGGAUUAGAUACCCGGGUAGUC
rnacentral:rRNA from 1 species